GUGUGUGUGUGUGUGUGAGUGUGUGUGUUCACUGUAGUGUAACAGAGGUUUUUGUACGACGGUUUCAUUAGAAUGUAUCACUGUGGAACACUUUUGGUGGAGGAACAAAACUCAGCAUCAAGGGUCCCACUGUGAAGCCCUCCGUGUCUCUGCUCCAUCCAUCGUCUCUGCAGCUCUCUGAGGGACCGGCCUCACUGCUCUGCCUGCUAUCUGCCUACUCUCCACAGGGGGCGACAGUGAGCUGGACAGUGGAUGGCUCACUGGUGAAUGAAGGGGUUCUAACCAGCCC